UUGGUGUAUAAAAUUCAUGAACAUUUAUUAGAUGGGUGCAAAAUGGUGUAAACAGACGUUGUACAUGUCACAGUCAGUCAUCAGGGUGGGGCACGGUUAACAUGGAGAUCAUAUAGGGAAGGUGUGUAAAAGGCUACAUACACACUCAAUGAGUAGAGGACAAAGAUGUGUAAGAUACAACAAUCACUUAUUCUCCAGCAAUGAAAGACACAGACAGGACAAGAAGCAGUACCUGCAACAAUGCAUUCUCAGGGCAGUCACACAUUUCAGUUAAUGGUUUGCACAUACAUGUUUUGACAUUCAGUUCUUAUAGAACGAAUCUGAUACAUCAGGAAGUUUGGUCCAGUGUACAUGUCACUUGUACAAUGUCAAAUGCACCAUUCUGAAACAAAAUUUCAAAUUGAACUUAUCUGUUGCAACAUUUUUACUGACCGGUAACGACAGAUGAAAUGUUUAACUACUUCAAUAUUAAUCUUUAUUCUGUACAGUGUUUUGAUAGCACCUAUUUUAUUUUUUAGUUAACCUUGUUAUAGCAAGCAAUGAUGCCCCGAAGUCAGCAAAGCAAAUCUCCUGUUCAUUACUUUUUAAUUCUCGUACAUACAGGACGUGUUAAGUUUUCAAAUGUAACAUUACACCUGGAAGAAGUCAUCUUUUAACCCCAGAAAUACCAGCGUGAAUAAACGGUCUGAAAUGUUUUGGCUAAAGGGGCAGUGUUGUAUUUUGUGAUGGGCCUGAAUAUGUAAAUGAGCCAACAGAGACAAGGUCACGUGUCACAAAAGAUUAGCAGUUGACUGAACGCCGUAACAUCCAUUACACUUCACUCCCCAAUAACAUUUCAACAUCCCAUUGCUUUUCUGGGUGGGAAUUACAUUAGUACACUGAUGUGGAAUCCGUGCUACCUACUGUCAUAUUAACAUGUUUAUUUCAGUAAUGUCGAUCUACUAAUGCAGAAGGGAGACGGUAUAAAAUGAACGCACUUCACAAUAGAUGUUUUUGUUUACUAGCUAAGGACUUAAUGGGCCUGACUAGACAGGCAGAGGCAAAGUGUAUGGUAAUGAUCUUAUUUGCAUGCAGCAAGUCCAUUUAAGAGCUAAGAGCCUAGUUCAGAGGUGGAGGCGGGUGCACUGGACUCUAGCGCUACUGUCAGACAGGGAAAGACUUGGAGAAUGACAAAUUAUUAUUGAGAAAAUUAUAGGAUCUAGCCUCGGCUAUGGCUUAGCUUGGUUAACCUAUUGAUAUGGUUUGUGUAUGUAGUCUUUCGGGCUUCUUUAAAAUAACAAUACAUUUAAAAUCUCAAGUACUGUAGAAUAAACCAAAUUGUCUAAUCCUGUUGUAAGAAAUGAAGAUCCAGUUUUUAAACACAAACACAUACAUAUUGAUUUAGUAAACACUCAUUUAACACUCAUUUACAAUCUAGUCUUAAAUAAAUUAUAAUUUUUUUUUUAGAUAUUCUCAGCAGUAAACAUCUAGUGUCCACUUGAAGCAAAUCCAUUUUGGUGGUUUUGUCUAUAUUGCUC
ensembl:lncRNA